UCGGUCUGGGAUACAGUGAGGUAACAUUGGCUCUUUGGUGUUUGAGGGGCGUCGUUCAAGACAUAUGGCGCAUUUACCAACAAUGUCCUCUAUUUGUUUGCACAUUCCGGGCCAAACAAAAUGUCCCGUGCUCUCUGUUUGCACUUUUGCAUGCCCAUGUGUCUAGCAUGGUUCUUUGUCAAAAUCUCUUCUCUGAGACUGGUAGGAAUAAUGAUUUUCUCUCCUUUGAAAAUUAUUCCGUUGAUCUGUGAUAGUUCAUCAUGAUGGUUCCAGAACUCUGAGACGCUCUGAGGGCAUUUUCUCCUCUCCUCAGGCCAUCCAUCCUGUAUGACUUUCCUCAGAUGUGCGAGUUGUGAGUCCUUUUCUGUUUCUGCUUGGAUCUCCUUCAGUUUUGUGUCACUAACUGGUAAGUUGCUGUACACAGUGUGCACUUGCAUGUCCAUGCCUUCACUGAGGCUGCUGUCCUUAUAGGUAAGAAACUUCCUGGAGAGUGUGUCUGCGACAGGGAUGUCUUUGCCUGGACGGUGAGUGAUUGUGAAGUCGUAUUUUUGUAGUUGAAGGAGCCUUGGCUACACUAGCUGCGGCUAGUGGUUUCCUCAUGAUUGACUCAAGGGGCUUGUGGUCGGAUUCCACAAUGACUUGUCGUCCAUAUAUGUACUGAUGGAAACGUUUACAUCCGAACAGAAUGGCGUAGAGCUCCUUUUCAAUUUGAGCGUAGUUGAUUUCACAGAUUUGGAAGCGUAGCCGAUGGGCUUUCCUUCUUGCAGUAGCACUGCACCUAGUCCAUACUUCGACGCGUCCACUUGUCGGGGUCGUAGUAGGCAAGGAUUGGUCCUGGUUCUCUCGUGAUCAAGUCUUUCACAUUCUGGAAAGCAAUGUUGUGUUGCUUGUCCCAGAGAAACUCACUGGACUGCUUWAGCAGUUGACGCAGGGGUGCAUUAGCAUUGGAGAGGCUGGGUGCGAACUUGGCUAAGUAGUUGACCAUGCCAGGCACUGUUUCCAGCUCUGCACGGUUCUUUGGUGGCUCCAUUUACUUUAUGGCUAAGAUCUUCUGUGGAUCUGGCUUGAUUCCAGUCGCUGUAAGAAGAUGUCCGAAGUAGCUGACCUCUGUAGCGCCGACUGUGCUCUUCUCKGGGUUGAGCCGGACUCCUCUCUCGCGGGACCUUUGCAGCAUCGCGCGGAGGUUUCGGUCGUGCUCCUCUUUGGUUCGACCAUCGACAAGGAUGUCGUCCACAAUUGCCACAACUCCGUCGAGGCCUUCGUACACUUCGUCGAUCUUUCGCUGAAACUCGUCUUGGGCUGAGAUAAUCCCAAAAGGCAGGCGACGGAACCUGUAGCGUCCAAACGGUGUGUUGAAUGUUGUGAGCUUAGAUGGCUCUUCUGUGAGCUUGAUAGCCCAGUAGCCUGAUCUAGCGUCCAUGACACUGAAGUAGUGUGCUCCAGCUUGUGUGUGAUGCCAUCUAGCGUCGGUAUUACAAUUACUAAAGCUACUGUCCUUUUUGUAAUUGAAUGUCCUCUAUAGGGAAGCCAGAGAUCAGAUAAUCCAGUUGCCUGGUCAGGUGUUCAGCUCUGCCCUGCAGGACUGGGAGCUGUCCCAAGGGUGCACUGGGGAGCCUGAUUCCACCCCACCUCCAUACUGCAGGGGCUUCUUUGAUGCCAUCACCAUGGACCAAGAUGGUACCAACCUAGUAUUCUGUGGGAGGCUGUUCUGGACUGUGUCUCCUGCAGGCCAGGCCAGCUCCCCUCUACCUCUGCAGAACUGCUGGCCAGGACUACCCCUCACCAUUUAGGCAGCUGCUUACUCAAAGAUGGACAAUAAGUUAUACUUUUUCAAAGGCAGGCGAGUGUGGCGUUACUCCGGCAGCGAUGUGGACCCAGGCUUCCCCCUGAGGAGCAGCGAGCUAGGCCUCCCUGGACACCCUGACCAGGCCUUCACCUACCCCCACCUGGGCCACCUGGUGGUGUUUAAAGGCCAGCGUUACUUUGUGCUUAACUUUGGGACCCUGAGGCCCGACUCAUACUACCCCGCAGCCUGGAAGACAGAGGGCCAAUGGAGCCCUCAACCACCCUGAUGGACAGGUAUACUUCUUCAAGGAGCAGCAGUACUGGAGCUUUGAUCCAGAGAAGGUGCAGGUGACUGGAGGGGGGAGGUGGGACACAGAGCUGGAAUGGACAGGCUGUCUUGGAACUCACCACAGAGGCAAUGAUAUACUGUGACCACAAGUGGGCGAUAACUAACUGAUUCAAGUUUUUGGUCAGGGUAAUGUGCAAUGGAUAUACUCAGACUAAGCAAUGACAGAAGUCAAGGGAUUUGUUUAUGUUCCCAUAUUUUUUAUGUUUAUACAGUAUUAUUAAAUUAAUAUUAAUAUUCCUACAUCCUACAGUGAUCCAAUGUUUUUGUUUAUAAUGUGCUUGUUUUGUUCUAGACCGUAUUAAGAUAUUCUGUAUGAGUCAUGGCCCAUCUGUGGGCUGUACAUUUUAUUAGGAUCUCUUUUAGUCCUCAUUUGGACUAAUCUUCCAAGAGUCCUUAAACAUUAAAAUACAAUUUAUAA